rnacentral:tRNA from 1 species
GGGCGAAUGGUUUAGUGGUAUAAUACUCCCUUAGCAUGAUUCAUUUGAAGAAUAACAUGGGAGUGGUCCAGGGUUCGAUUCCCUGUUCGUCCA